rnacentral:rRNA from 1 species
CUUUUGCGUUUAAAAGGUAUUUUAAUUCAACAUCGAGGUCAUAAUCUCACUUGUCAAUUAGAACUUUCAAAGAGAAUUAAGCUGUUAUCCCUAAAGUAACUUGUUCUUUUUUUAAAAAUUUUAGAUAUAAAAACGUAUUUGUUUCAUUUAGAAAAGAAAAGAUAUAUUUUUUCUCACCGCCCCAGUAAAAUAUUUUAUUAUUUUUCUAGAAUAAAAAAAUAUAAAGUUUUAUAGGGUCUUCUCGUCUUUAAGAGAAAUUUUAGCCUUCUUACUAAAAAGUUAACUUCAUUUCUUUAUUCUUGAAAAUUUUCUUCCAGUUUACUCCUUCAUUCCAGUCCCU